rnacentral:rRNA from 1 species
ACGAACGCUGGCGGCGUGCUUAACACCUGCAAGUCGAACGGAAAGGCCCCUUUGGGGGUACUCGAGUGGCGAACGGGUGAGUAACACGUGAGUAACCUGCCCUUGACUUCGGGAUAACUUCAGGAAACUGGGGCUAAUACCGGAUAGGAAUCCUUGCUGCAUGGUGGGGGUUGGAAAGCUUCGGCGGUUUUGGAUGGACUCGCGGCUUAUCAGCUUGUUGGUGGGGUAGUGGCUUACCAAGGCUUUGACGGGUAGCCGGCCUGAGAGGGCGACCGGCCACAUUGGGACUGAGAUACGGCCCAGACGCCUACGGGAGGCAGCAGUGGGGAAUAUUGCACAAUGGGCGGAAGCCUGAUGCAGCAACGCCGCGUGCGGGAUGACGGCCUUCGGGUUGUAAACCGCUUUCAGCAGGGGCGAAGCUUGUGGUGACGGUACCUGCAGAAGAAGCACCGGCUAACUACGUG